CACGGGGGGGGCAAGCGUUGUUCGGAAUCACUGGGCGUAAAGGGCGUGCAGGCGGUCAGGUAAGUGGGAUGUGAAAUGCCCCGGCUCACCCGGGGACCGGCAUCUCAUACUGCUUGGCUUGAGUACGGGAGAGGAUGUGGGAAUUCCUGGUGUAGCGGUGAAAUGCGUAGAUAUCAGGAGGAACACCGGUGGCGAAGGCGCACAUCUGGCCCGAUACUGACGCUGAGGCGCGAAAGCUAGGGGAGCAAACGGG
rnacentral:rRNA from 1 species